GCGCGGUCUGCCUCCCGCGGCGGGCCGGGUCUCCAGGGAGGACCUGAGUUUUCUUCACCCAUGGUCAGGGAAGCGCCAUCGCCCUGGCUUUGAGGCUGGGGCCUCCGGGGAGGUUCCGGUAGGGGCUUUGAAGAGGCCGCUGUUUUUGCAAGGCCGAGACGGCGGGCCCUGCGCAGGCCGCCCUAUUCCGCGCCCUCAGGGCGUCAGUAUCCGCCUGAGGCCGGAUACCCCCUCUGGGCCCGGAUGCCCCCGCUGGCCCCGGAGCAUCCUCGGCGCUGCCCUCCCAGAGCCCCGCAGAGGCUGAGGUGGCGCGGGGGCGGCCCCGGCUCCGCGAGAAGCGGCGGCAGCGAGGGCUGGAGGACCCGGGCUACGGGGCUCCGGGGCGUCUGGCCUGGUUGGGACUGAGCCCAUCCAGGGACUGGGACUCUGGGAUUCUGGUGUAGGUGGAUCCGGGGCAGGCUCAGGACCAAGUCCCUCUCCUUCCACCAAGGAGCGCCCAGAGGCCGGCGGGAGCUCCAGGUUCACCUCCUCCUCCUCCAGGAAAUCUCACUUCCAACUGGAUGUCUGGAUGAACUACUGAAAGCUGCUGAGUGUCCUGCAGCAGCUUGACUACCACACAAAUGAAUCCACUCAAAUGUUGGCAAGUGGAGCAGAGUCCCAGGACAGGUACAGAAACACCCCCAGUUCAAGGAUCUUCACACCUGGAUUUAGGCCUACUCCUGCAACUACCCCAGAACCUGGAAUUUAUAUGUUCAACAUGGAGCCAUCCCAGCCAUGACAACAGAGAAUGUACCACUCUCACGAGGCGCUUGGAAACCACCGUGAAUUGGACCGCACUGGGAAACACAGAUGAGGAAAGUCAACAACGCUUUGUCCUUCAGUGCCUGGCUCCUUUUUCAGCUCGUCUUGCGACUCCCGGACGCCUGUGAGGCUCUAAUUCCCUGGGUCCCAUUGCCAUGUCUCUGGAUUUGCGAAGAUCCACCGCACCUUCUGUGGAACUCCCGUGUCGGUGAAC
rnacentral:lncRNA from 10 species